GAGUAGAAAAGUCAGCUAAGAACAAAGAAUAGGAACGUUAGACAAUAGAAAGAGAAAAAAUAUGGGAGGGCCAUCUUUAUCUUUGUCUAAUGUUGCGCGCGCAUCGAACUUCAAAAGCUGAGUGGAGAGACGCGUUGUUUUGAGUUUUGAGGAGAAGUUUCUUUAGUAAACGCUGUGAUCUGUGAUAGAGAAAUAUUAUCAUUUUGCUCGUUCUUACAGAAGACAGAGAUGUCUUUGCACGAUAAAUUUCUGUCUUAUUUCAUUAUUAUUUUCAACGUGGCUUACGCAACAUUUAUAAAAUUAUAACAAAUUAUGACGAAAGCGUGUGUUGUAUGUAAAAAACAACCCACUCCCUUCGAUAGAUCUCGAAGUUUUCACAAUAGUUAUGAUAUAACCAAAAUAUCACUUAACCUAAAAUUCAAGAAAAAAUGUAACGGAACGCAAUUCGCGUCAUGUGAAAAUGCAAAGUAUUAUUUUAUCUUUAAUUCCGAAUUACAAAUUUCCUGAUACUGUUGAGUUAAAAAAGAAAUGGAUGGAAGUUAUUGAUGUGACAACAAUUUCAAGUUCAGCCAGACUGUGUAGUGAUCACUUCCAUAAUGAUUCGUUUCAACAAACUGAUGGAUAUACAACUUUGAGACGGUUAACAUCAACUGCUGUUCUUUUUGAUCAAAACGACAAUCAAUUAUCUUUACAAAUCAACAAUGUACCUACUCAAGUACUUGGCGAUGUAAUUAAUCAUUAAGAUAUGACAAGUGCUGAAAAUACAUCAUUUUCAACAAAAACAGAUACUAGUGGCUUUAAGAUACAUAAUCAUUUAAGUUCCAGAAACAGUAUUAAAAGAAAAUCAUCUGCUGUCAACAUUUCCCCAA
rnacentral:lncRNA from 1 species